UAAAAUGAUUCUGGGAAUGAUUCAAUUUAUAUUUUUUGUGUUGUAUCUUGGUAAGAACAUAGUAUCUAAAAUGUUUUUAUUGAACAACAUCAAACUGGUACAAUUUAAAAUUCUUAGCUCAAAUGUUCCUUUACAAGAUGCCUCUUGCAAACUAUUCUUAUUUGAAAGAUUAAAAUAGAAACUCUCAUAUUAUUAAAAAAUAACUUUUAGAGAUUGAUAAAAUCAUUUCCUAUAAUGACAUAAAAAUGAACAAGUGUUAAUUUGAUUUAACCUAAUGAUGAAACUGGUGAAAUGUAACAACUAGUUCAAGGGAAAAGUAGAAAAAUGACACAUUUAUAGUUAAAUGACUGGGCAAAUGGACUGUGUAAAAGUGGCUUCUUCUAUAAAAGUAGCUUCUUCUAUAGUGGAGUAAGGAAGUCAGUAGAUCUUUCAGACAGAAUUUGCAUGACUACAGAUAAUAACCAUCUUGCAUUGCUAUCAGCUAUCUGCAUUUUACAGAGUAGAGAAUAGCCUUCAUAGAACCAGAUCAGAUAAUCAUUAUAUAAGAGAGCUAUAGAUAUUUUGUCUGCCAUUAAAAAAUUUUUUUUUCCUGCACAUUAAACAAGUUCUGUCUCUGCUUUGUGUAUUUCCCUAUAUAUAAGACUAUUGCAAUAUGUAUUGUUUAAAUAUAGGUUCAUGAUUUGAAACUAGAGUAAGUAACGAGGCACAAAUAAUAAGUACUGCCAGGCCUCCAUAUCUACGGGUUCUGCAUCUGCAUCUAUACAUGAAACCAACCUGGGCCUACUUCAAACCAACUUAAAAUCUCUGGAGGUGGAAUCUGGACACUGAUGCUUUAAAAAAAUUACCCAGAUGAUUUUAAGGUGCAUCCAGUAUUGAGAACCAUUCCUUUGACAGUUAUCAGAUAGCUUAGUUAUGAUCCUUACAGAUUCUAGUUCCAUCUCAUUAGAAAAAUCAUUCUUAUUAUGAGAUGUGGGAUGUGGCUUGAUGUUUUAGAUAUUCAAAUUAUUAGAAUCCAUACUCCUUAAGGAAACUCCUGACUAUCGUUUAAUUUGUCAUGCACCAUGCCUAUAGUUAAUAAAACACUUUGAUCCUGUUGCAUGAAAACAAAUUUAGUCCUCUUUGAGAACAUUUCGAUCUGAGAUUAACAAACUGACGUUUAUUCCUUCAGAUGAAUCUCAUGAACUUGAUUAUUACAAAGACGACUUGGAGUGGAGCCCAAAAGGCCUUACUUCCCAGGUGGCGACAUCCCUACAUGACCUCGCACCCUGUGUACUGCUUUCUACACUACCAUGUUGUGGUUUAUUAUGGUUAAGAAACAAAAUGCUUGCAAAGUAAAAUCAAGUACUUUUAACCAGUGCUUCAUAAACAUGUUAUCAAUUCUCCAGGACACAGUCUGUGUUUCUGCUCCCAGACGAGGCUCUCCCAGGCAAUAUCCCUCAGUUUAAGCCUUUCCCAUUUGCUUCUCUAGCUUGGCUUCCAAAUUUUUUAUUUGAUUUCCCAAAUGUACAGAGCAGUGAACCAACUGUGCACAUCCAUCUGUUAAUUGAUAAACAGACAUAGAAGAGUAUUACAUACCGUGCCUUUGCCCCUUCAAAAUAAAGUACGUUGUAAAGUUUUCCUUUUAAA